UACGGGGGGGGCAAGCGUUGUUCGGAAUUACUGGGCGUAAAGGGCUCGUAGGCGGCCAACUAAGUCGGAUGUGAAAUCCCCAGGCUCAACCUGGGAACUGCAUCCGAUACUGGAUGGCUUGAAUCCGGGAGAGGGAUGCAGAAUUCCUGGUGUAGCGGUGAAAUGCGCAGAUAUCAGGAGGAACACCGGUGGCGAAGGCGGUUCUCUGGGCAUUACCUGACGCUGAGGAGCGAAAGUGUGGGGAGCGAACAGG
rnacentral:rRNA from 1 species